UGGGGAGUGGUGUAACUGGCAACACAGCAGAUUCUGGUUCUGUUAUUCAGGGUUCGAUUCCUUGCUCCCCAGCCA
rnacentral:tRNA from 8 species